CCCUUAGAUGUUCUGGGCCGCACGCGUGCUACACUGAGUGGAUCAGCGGGUCAGGUUGCGCGAAAGUGGUUCCUAAUCUUGAAAUCCGCUCGUGAUGGGGAUUGACGGUUGCAAUUUUCCGUCAUGAACGAGGAAUACCUUGUAAGCGCGGGUCAUCAUCCCGCGCUGAAUACGUCCCUGCCCUUUGUACACACCGCCCGUCGCUCCUACCGAUUGAGUGGUCCGGUGAGGCUUUGGGAUCUGAGCGGAAAGAGCGUUUCGCUGUUUCUGCUCGGAAAACUCAGUCGAACCUUAUCAUUUAGAGGAAGGAGAAGUCGUAACA
rnacentral:rRNA from 1 species